CAGGCACCUGAACCCAGAACCGCUGUUUGUCGUAGCGGCAGGUUAAACAGGUGCAGAAAGCAAGCAAAUCUCAUCGCUUUCGGGGGCUGUGGUGAUGCCCCUCAAAGUGAAUUGGGAGGUUCUACUCCC